GAACUGGCGCUGUGGGAUGAACCGAACGCUGAGUUAUGGCGCCCGACGAGACGCUCAUGAGAUCCCAGAAAAGGUGUUGGUUGCUAUAGACAGCAGGACGGUGGCCAUGGAAGUCGGAACCCGCUAAGGAGUGUGUAACAACUCACCUGCCGAAGCAACUAGCCCUGAAAAUGGAUGGCGCUAGAGCGUCUGGCCUAUACUCGGCCGUUGCAGCAGCAGCAACGACAGUCAAGCUGCAACGAGUAGGAGGGUCGCGGCGGUGGCGACGAAGGCUUACGGGCGUGAGCCUGGCUGGAGCCGCCGCCGGUGCAGAUCUUGGUGGUAGUAGCAAAUACUCAAGCGAGAACCUUGAGGACUGAAGUGGAGAAGGGUUCCAUGUGAACAGCAGUUGAACAUGGGUCAGUCGAUCCUAAGGUAUCGGCGAAAGCCGUUCAGAAGCGGUGUGGAUAGUGUCUUCGGGCACUGGUUACUGUGUUGGCUUUACGGUUUAUGCAGUGAUCACCGCACCUACCGAAAGGGAAUCGGGUUAAUAUUCCCGAACCCGGCAUCGGAUAUUGGUCCAACUUCGGUUAGACACAUGCGGUAACGCAAAUGAACUCGGAAACGCUGACACGUGCCCUAGAAAGAGUUGUCUUUUCUUCAUAAGGCACAGGCUCCCUGGAAUCGGAUCAUCCGGCGAUAGGGAGAUGGUGUCCGUAGAGCACCGCGGUUCUUGCGGUGUCUGGUGCGCACGUGUCGGUCCUUGAAAAUCCGAGGGAGAGUGUGAUUUUCGUGCCGGAUCGUACCCAUAUCCGCAGCAGGUCUCCAAG
rnacentral:rRNA from 1 species